GAUGAACGCUGGCGGCGUGCCUAAUACAUGCAAGUCGAGCGAACGGACGAGAAGCUUGCUUCUCUGAUGUUAGCGGCGGACGGGUGAGUAACACGUGGAUAACCUACCUAUAAGACUGGGAUAACUUCGGGAAACCGGAGCUAAUACCGGAUAAUAUUUUGAACCGCGUGGUUCAAAAGUGAAAGACGGUCUUGCUGUCACUUAUAGAUGGAUCCGCGCUGCAUUAGCUAGUUGGUAAGGUAACGGCUUACCAAGGCAACGAUGCGUAGCCGACCUGAGAGGGUGAUCGGCCACACUGGAACUGAGACACGGUCCAGACUCCUACGGGAGGCAGCAGUAGGGAAUCUUCCGCAAUGGGCGAAAGCCUGACGGAGCAACGCCGCGUGAGUGAUGAAGGUCUUCGGAUCGUAAAACUCUGUUAUUAGGGAAGAACAUAUGUGUAAGUAACUGUGCACAUCUUGACGGUACCUAAUCAGAAAGCCACGGCUAACUACGUG
rnacentral:rRNA from 1 species